GACGAACGCUGGCGGCGUGCUUAACACAUGCAAGUCGAACGGAAAGACCCUGCUUUUGUGGGGUGCUCGAUUGGCGAACGGGUGAGUAACACGUGAGUAACCUGCCCUUGACUUUGUGAUAACUUCAGGAAACUGGGGCUAAUACCGGAUAGGAGCUCCUGCUGCAUGGUGGGGGUCGGAAAGUUUCGGCGGUUGGGGAUGGACUCGCGGCUUAUCAGCUUGUUGGUGGGGUAGUGGCUUACCAAGGCUUUGACGGGUAGCCGGCCUGAGAGGGUGACCGGCCACAUUGGGCCUGAGAUACGGAGCAGAAUGCUACGGGAGGCAGCAGUGGGGAAUAUUGCACAAUGGGCGGAAGCCUGAUGAAGAAACGCCGCGUGCGGGAUAACGGCCUUCGGGUUGUAAACAGAUUUCGACUGUGACGAAGCGUGAGUGACGGUAAUGGGUAAAGAAGCACCGGCUAACUACGUG
rnacentral:rRNA from 1 species